rnacentral:rRNA from 1 species
ACAUACGACCACAGGGUGUGGAAAAUAGGGCUUCCCGUCCGCUCAGCCGUACUCAAGCCACACGCCGGGAGGUUAGUAGUUGGGUGGGUGACCAC